CUUGCCUACGGGGGGCAGCAGUGGGGAAUAUUGCGCAAUGGGCGAAAGCCUGACGCAGCGACGCCGCGUGAGGGAUGAAGGUCUUCGGAUCGUAAACCUCUGUCAGCAGGGAAGAACGGUCACUGUGCUAAUCAGCAGUGAAUUGACGGUACCUGCACAGGAAGCACCGGCUAACUCCGUGCCAGCAGCCGCGGUAAUACGGAGGGGGCGAGCGUUAUCCGGAUUUAUUGGGGGUAAAGGGUGCGUAGACGGGAAUUUAAGUUAGUUGUGAAAUCCCUCGGCUCAACUGAGGAACUGCAACUAAA
rnacentral:rRNA from 1 species